rnacentral:misc_RNA from 1 species
GAUGAAGAACGUAGCGAAAUGCGAUACUUGGUGUGAAUUGCAGAAUCCCGUGAACCAUCGAGUCUUUGAACGCAAGUUGCGCCUCAAGCCAUUAGGUUGAGGGCACGUCUGCCUGGGCGUCACAUAUCGUUGCCUGAUGCCAGUUUCCUCGUGAUGGGUGACUGUGCAGGGCGAAUGAUGGCUUCCCGUGAGCAUUGUUGCCUCAUGGUUGGUUGAAAAUUGAGUCCUUGGUAGGGAGCGCCGUGAUAGAUGGUGGUUGAGUGACGAACGAGACCCAAUCAUGUGAGACCCCUACCGAAUUUGGCCUUCAUGACCCACAUGCGUCUUUGGAACGCUCAUGACGAGACCUCAGGUCAGGCGGGGCUACCCGCUGAGUUUAAGCAUAUCAAUAAGCGGAGUA